GUACUGUGGUACUACUUGGUACGUAGUAGGUACUCAAAAAAUGUUUGCGAGUGAAUGAAUGGCUACUUCUAAGUUGGUUUGUAUGUCAGUGAGUAGUUGUAUCUGGAUUUUUUCUCUAUGUGUUUUGGAAAUGUGUAAUGUGUUUAUAUUAUAUGCCCAUAUAUUCUGAACUCCAUAGUGUUGUCUUAAUCUACCUUUCUAGCUUCAUGCCUUCCCAUUGUUCUUCUCUCUGCCAUGGUAACUACUCCCUACUGUAACUGUCCAUGUUCCAUACUGUCAGACCUCAGGCCUUUGGCUGUUCCCUCAUGUUAUUUCCAUAUCCUUGAAUCCUGUCAUUGGCAUCAUCAUCUGUCAAAAUCAUAAGCUUCUUUUAAGGCAGGUGUUGCCAACUCAGAUGCCUACAGAGGUUAAUCAGGUAGCAUAAUUUGAGUGAAGUGGAUUUGCGUGGGGGAUUGUAGGGAGCUGGAGAGCAACUGCCCUAGCUAAAAGGGCCCAGCAGCUAUUUAGCACAAGCUAGUUAUUACAGAGUUGAAUGUGGGCCCAGUGUUGCUAGAUCUUUUAAUUUUACAAGUUAGAAGUUGGAAGCCUAUAUUUUUAUAUGAAGUCUGAUUUUUAAAUGUUGGCAUCUAGUUUUUGCAAAGUUUAAAUACUGUGCAGGCCAAAUAAAAACAUCUGUAGGCUGGAUUUGGCACUUAAAUUCCCAGUUUGUGACCACUACUCUAGGCUUAUUUCAGCUGAUAUUCUAAUCAUGUCAGAUAAAGAUGAUAUUGAGACUCCACUGCUAACUGAAGCAGCCCCCAUCCUUGAAGAUGGAAACUGUGAGCCAGCCAAGAAUUCUGAGUCUGUUGACCAAGGUGCCAAACCAGAGAGUAAAUCAGAACCUGUAGUUUCCACUCGGAAAAGACCAGAGACCAAACCUUCCAGUGACCUUGAGACUUCAAAAGUUCUCCCUAUUCAGGAUAAUGUUUCCAAAGAUGUACCCCAGACCAGAUGGGGUUAUUGGGGGAGCUGGGGCAAGUCCAUACUCUCCUCAGCCUCGGCUACAGUAGCUACAGUAGGACAAGGCAUUUCAAAUGUCAUCGAGAAGGCAGAGACUUCCCUUGGAAUCCCUAGUCCCAGUGAAAUUUCAACUGAAGUCAAGUAUGUAGCAGGAGAGACAAAUGCCAAAGAGAAUGAAAACUCCUCCCCAGUGGCUGGGGCAUUUGGUGUAUUCUCUACCAUCUCUACUGCUGUUCAGAGCACAGGAAAGAGUGUUAUAAGUGGGGGUUUGGAUGCCUUAGAAUUCAUUGGAAAAAAGACAAUGGAUGUGAUAGCAGAAGGGGAUCCUGGAUUUAAAAGAACCAAGGGUCUGAUGAACCGAAAUGCUACACUAUCUCAGGUUUUACGAGAGGCGAAGGAGAAAGAAGAGAUACGGACCUCCAGUGAGGUUACCGUGGAAACAGACAAGAAAACUCAUUAUGGGCUACUCUUUGAUGAAUUUCAAGGCCUUUCACAUCUAGAAGCUCUGGAGAUGCUUUCCCGAGAAAGUGAAAUAAAGGUGAAAUCUAUCCUUAAUUCUCUGAGUGGAGAAGAAUUAGAGACUCUAAAAGUUGAAUUAGAGCAACUCAAAGAAGCAUUUUCUCUAGCAGAAUUUUGUGAAGAAGAGGAAGAAGAGAAAAAAGGCAAGAAAUACCGCCCACGAAUGGAUCAGGAAGUCUCUGACCAAGCCAUUAGCAGAGAAUGAAGAAGGAGAAAAACAGUCGGAAGCAGAAAAUACUGAGCAAGUCAACAAAAAUUCAAUAGAGGAUUGUAGCAUCUUAGAUCCAGACUAUAAGAUUAAAGGAGGAGUGAAGAAAAAAAGAGAGAAAGGAUGCACGUGUGUUUUGUCAUGAGGAAGGUUCCCAGAAACUGCCGCCUGACACUUGUUAUCUAAAUCAUUUGGCCAAAACUUAGUUACUUCGUCACGCCUGACUUCAGGGGAGCCCAGCUGUAAAAUUACAUCACUACUGUGGAAGAAGAAGACACUCUUUAUUGGAAGGCAACUAUUAGUCUCUGCUACAAAUCCUGUAGUAUGAGAGAAGUAAGGUGGUAUCUUUCCACCAAAUGUUUUGUUUUGCUAUGCUUUGUUUUGUUUUUCCAUCCAGGAUAUCCAUGCGUUUGCAAUCCGGAGCCUGGCUGAACUGACUGCCUGCUCAAUUGAACUAUUCCACAAAACAGCUGCAUUGGUUCUGCAUGGCAGGAAGCAGGAAGUGACAGCCAUAGAAAGGAGCCAAACUCUUUCCCAGAUGACAAUUGUGUUGUGUAAAGAGUUGUCCUCUCUGUCUAAAGAGUUCACCACCUGCCUAACAACUGCUGGGGUCAAAGAAAUGGCAGAUGUCCUUAACCCGUUAAUCACUGCAGUAUUUCUAGAGGCAUCAAACAGUGCCUCCUACAUCCAGGACACCUUUCAGCUACUCUUACCUGUGCUAGAGAUCUCUCUCAUUGAGAACAAGAUUGAAUCACACAGGCAUGAGCUGCAGGGCCAGAAACCUUUGUUAGAACAUUGAAGAAUGGAGACGUUUUGACCUGGGACUUGUGACGGCCAAGGAAUGCCACCUUAUUCUGGCUACUCCUGCAGAAAUGAAGGAGUGGGGUUAUUUUAGUAUAUAAAAAUUCAGGCAGGAGAGAUGGUUUAAAGAGGAAGAUUGUUGCCUUCAGUGUUUGAUUGAAGUAUUCAGGUCCUCACAGUAUUCUUUCCAGUUGUUGUAAUUCAUAAAUUAUUUGAAAAGAAACUUUUGUAGAAAGUCCAAGAAUAAUAACUCUAGAUAAAGAUUAGUGGGACACUCAGGCAAAAAUGUUGGUCUUUCUUUGACAUGUUGCAAAAUGUUAUCAAUUUUGUCAUGGAUAUAAUUUGCAGCCCAUGGAUAUAACUGGUUGAUAAGCCACAGAAAAAUAAUUUAGUGUUCUAAAAUUCAUGGCAUGUGUGGUUUAUUAAUGCCAUGUACUUUCUCCUUUCUGGAAUAAAAUCUAUGGCUUUAAGAAAACUGAGCAUAUGUAAACUCUGUGAUGAUUACCCUUUAUCACAUGAAUUCUUGGAAAUAGAAAGUUUCAUCUGCUUUUUUAAAUUCUUAGUAGAUAUUUGGCAUUGAGGAGAAACUUGUAGACUAUUAUAGCCAUGUGAAUUAACUGUAGCAAAGUGCCCUUUUUCUUCAAAUUGCUCCCCCUCCCCAGGAUGACACACUUCAUGUCAUAGCUGAACCCUACUCUACUGGAUUCAAGACCAGUAAAUGCAAUUUAGAGAAGCAGUUUUAUGUUUGCAGAUAUUCUGAGUCUCUUCAGGAUGUGUUUCGUGUCUACCAUAUAUGCAGGAUAAAUUCUUUAACAGCAAACUCCAAAGGAAUGUUGAAGCUGUUUUAGCAAUGAGGAUUUUUUUGUUUGAGUGUUGAAGUGGGCCAUAAUCCUUUAGAAAUGAUGUUCAUUUAUGAUAGGAUUUAACUUCUAAGGCAUAGUUUAUUUUUUCCUCUUUCCUUUUUGUUUUAAUGUAUUCUUUAGCAUGUUUUUGAUAUAACUUUUAUCCUCCAGAUCUUAAGCUUUCUUUUGCUCUCUUCAGCAAUUUAAGAGACUUAAUUAAGCUGUCAUCUUCCUAAAAGCUAUUUUGGUAUCCACUCUUUUUAAAAAAAUUCUCCAACUUUGUGGUUUUUUAAUGAUUAAGGUUAUUUGUUAGCUCUGCCCCUCAUCUUCUAAAACCUUUGUAAUAAAAUGUAUUAAUCAUGUUA